CCUACGGGAGGCAGCAGUAAGGAAUAUUGGUCAAUGGAGGCAACUCUGAACCAGCCAUGCCGCGUGCAGGAUGACGGCCCUAUGGGUUGUAAACUGCUUUUGUACCAGAGAAAACCUACUCACGUGUGAGUAGCUGAUAGUAUGGUAAGAAUAAGCAUCGGCUAACUUCGUGCCAGCAGCCGCGGUAAGACGAAGGAUGCAAGCGUUAUCCGGAUUCAUUGGGUUUAAAGGGUGCGUAGGCGGACUUGUAAGUCAGUGGUGAAAUCUCUUCGCUUAACGAAGAAACUGCCAUUGAUACUGCAGGUCUAGAGUAUAGAUGACGUUGGCGGAAUAUGACAUGUAGUGGUGAAAUACUUAGAUAUGUCAUAGAACACCGAUUGCGAAGGCAGCUAACGAAACUAUAACUGACGCUGAGGCACGAAAGUGCGGGGAUCAAACAGGAUUAGAUACCCUGGUAGUCCGCACCGUAAACGAUGAUUACUCGUUGUUGGCGAUAUGACAGUCAGCGACCAAGCGAAAAGCGANAAGUAAUCCACCCUGGGGAGUACGCCGGCGAACGGUGAAACGUUAAAGAGUAGUUAGACGUUGAGAGAGCGACGACGGACGACGACGGAGGGAGGAGG
rnacentral:rRNA from 1 species